rnacentral:lncRNA from 1 species
GAGUGUCAUUAAUGUCCUCAACUAUAAAACAACGGGUAAUGGCAUCAAGAACGAGGUUAAAGGUUAUGGAGGUCAUCAUCCACAGCUUACUUAUUACGCUCUUGUGUUCUCUGAUUACAAUAGCUGCAGUAUCUUCAAUGGUCCGUAUGGAACUCCCAAAGCCCGACCACCGAACGCAAUGGAAGUUAUGAACUGUGGGUGAGUGAUAAAGACAACAUUCCGCCUUGUUGCGACUUCCUUUUUAAACUGUUAACACGAAAUCAGAAAAUACGAUUCAUAGAUCAAAAGAACUGCAAGUGAACAAGCGGGAUAACAUUCUUCGACGUAGGAAUCAAAUGCUGACAUUUGUAUGAAUUGCUUUGCGAAGAACUGGAAAACGUUGUCUGCAAGUUCUUGUCUGGUUGCAGCAGCAACCUCUUCGGACUACUGUGGCAUAUUGUGAACAAAACUUACUUGUGAAACUUUCAAUAAAACGAACAACAACCAAAUAUUGGAGGCUUUUUUGUAUUUUAAACGACGGUAGGCAGGCUUUUCUAAGUAAAGUUUAUGGG